rnacentral:tmRNA from 1 species
GGGGAUGACCGGUUUUGACAGCGGGCAGAAGCGGUAUGUAAGCAUGCAGUGCGCUGGUGGCUAGCACUAUAAUCUUGAGACCAAAAAUUUAACUGGCGAGAAUAACUAUGCUCUUGCAGCCUAACCGAAGUACAGUAAGUUAGCUUUAUCGCGGUCAAGAUGACUGCGACAAGACGUCUCCCCAAGCCCAAGUCCUGAGGCGAUUGGAUUAGCGAGGCGCAGAAUAUCGGGAAUAGUGUCGUUAGAGUCUGGAUGACGGCAUGAAAUUUACAGACUAAGGUGCUGGUUGGUGGUCCAGGUCUUGCCAACACCCGACAAUGAAGGCUGGAAUAAGCAUGUAGAAAGCAUAUUGAUUCCUCGUUUGGACGAGGGUUCGACCCCCUCCAUCUCCACUU